UGUCCGGAUUUACUGGGUGUAAAGGGUGCGUAGGCGGCUUUGCAAGUCAGAUGUGAAAUCUAUGGGCUCAACCCAUAAACUGCAUUUGAAACUGUAGAGCUUGAGUGAAGUAGAGGCAGGCGGAAUUCCCCGUGUAGCGGUGAAAUGCGUAGAGAUGGGGAGGAACACCAGUGGCGAAGGCGGCCUGCUGGGCUUUAACUGACGCUGAGGCCCGAAAGCGUGGGUA
rnacentral:rRNA from 1 species